rnacentral:rRNA from 1 species
AUUGAACGCUGGCGGCAGGCUUAACACAUGCAAGUCGAGCGGAGCGAGGGUGCUUGCACCUUAGCUUAGCGGCGGACGGGUGAGUAAUGCUUAGGAAUCUGCCUAUUAGUGGGGGACAACAUUCCGAAAGGAAUGCUAAUACCGCAUACGCCCUACGGGGGAAAGCAGGGGAUCUUCGGACCUCGCGCUAAUAGAUGAGCCUAAGUCGGAUUAGCUAGUUGGUGGGGUAAAGGCCUACCAAGGCGACGAUCUGUAGCGGGUCUGAGAGGAUGAUCCGCCACACUGGGACUGAGACACGGCCCAGACUCCUACGGGAGGCAGCAGUGGGGAAUAUUGGACAAUGGGCGAAAGCCUGAUCCAGCCAUGCCGCGUGUGUGAAGAAGGUCUUCGGAUUGUAAAGCACUUUAAGUUGGGAGGAAGGGCGCUCGGUGAAUACCCAGGCGUCUUGACGUUACCGACAGAAUAAGCACCGGCUAACUUCGUGCCAGCAGCCGCCGUAACAC